GACGAACGCUGGCGGCGUGCCUAAUACAUACAAGUUGAGCGAUGAAGAUUGGUGCUUGCCCCAAUUUGAAGAGCAGCGAACGGGUGAGUAACGCGUGGGGAAUCUGCCUUUGAGCGGGGGACAACAUUUGGAAACGAAUGCUAAUACCGCAUAACAACUUUAAACAUAAGUUUUAAGUUUGAAAGAUGCAAUUGCAUCACUCAAAGAUGAUCCCGCGUUGUAUUAGCUAGUUGGUGAGGUAAAGGCUCACCAAGGCGAUGAUACAUAGCCGACCUGAGAGGGGGAUCGGCCACAGUGGGACUGAGACACGGCCCAAACUCCUACGGGAGGCAGCAGUAGGGAAUCUUCGGCAAUGGACGAAAGUCUGACCGAGCAACGCCGCGUGAGUGAAGAAGGUUUUCGGAUCGUAAAACUCUGUUGGUAGAGAAGAACGUUGGUGAGAGUGGAAAGCUCAUCAAGUGACGGUAACUACCCAGAAAGGGACGGCUAACUACGUG
rnacentral:rRNA from 1 species